GACGAACGCUGGCGGCGUGCCUAAUACAUGCAAGUAGGACGCAGAUGCGAACGGGUGAGUAACGCGUAGGUAACUACCUAUUAGAGGGGGCUAACUAUUGGAAACGAUAGCUAAUACCGCAUACUAGUAGAUGGACCUGCGUUGUAUUAGCUAGUAGGUAGGGUAAUGGCCUACCUAGGCAACGGUACAUAGGCGACCUGGAAGGGGGAUCGGCCAACCUGGGACUGAGGAACGGCCCAGACUCCUUCGGGAGGCAGCAGUAGGGAAUCUUCGGCAAUGGGGGGAAACCUGACCGAGCAACGCCGCGUGAGUGAAGAAGGUUUUCGGAUCUUAAAGCUCUGUUGUUAAGGAAGCGGUACUUAACCAGAAAGGGACGGCUAACUACGUGCCAGCAGCCGCGGUAAUUC
rnacentral:rRNA from 1 species